AGCAGCCGCGGUAAUUCCAGCUCCAAUAGCGUAUAUUAAAGUUGUUGCAGUUAAAAAGCUCGUAGUUGAAUUUCGGGAUCAAGGAAUCGGUCAUGCCUCGGUAUGUACUGGUUUUAUUGGUUCUCACCUUCUAAAGAACCAUGAUGUCAUUCAUUUGAUGUUAUGGGGAAUUAGGACUGUUACCUUGAAAAAUUAGAGUGUUUAAAGCAAGCUUACGCUUGAAUACAUUAGCAUGGAAUAAUGAAAUAGGACAUCCGAUUCUAUUUUGUUGGUUUCUAGGAUCGAUGUAAUGAUUAAUAGGGAUAGUUGGGGGCAUUAGUAUUCAAUUGUCAGAGGUGAAAUUCUUGGAUUUAUUGAAGACUAACUACUUGCGAAAGCAUUUGCCAAGGAUGUUUUACAUUAUCAANAACGAAAGUUAGGGGAUCGAAGACGAUCAGAUACCGU
rnacentral:rRNA from 1 species